ACAAACUGAGUAAGAUAAAAGGGGUCCGCCUACCUAACUCAACUCGAUUAAUAAGAAAUGCUUGCAGCUCUCGCCGCACUAUCUGUUGCCCGCUGCUUGGCUUGCUUGGCGGCUUUCUCCGCUUUCUAAUACGAGAGUGAAUCUGUCCUUACUUGACUUCAGGCUUAGAUCGAGUUAGGAGCGAAUACCAGAAUUUGGUGUAUUGAACCCAGAUUGGGGAUUGUUACUCCUAAUUCCAUUCAGUAAUUCCGUUCAGAAUCUCUCCUCCUUGCUCGGAAGCAGGAAAUCUUCUUCUUCUCUUAAGGCAUACUACUUAUGCGCCACAAAGAGUGUGAUAAAGAAGACCAAGGGUGAAAGCUAUGAAUGUAGAGGAAGGAGGCUUUGGGAAAGCUCCCAUAAAAGGAAAAGAGUUCAUCUGGACUUACUAUUCAGGUACUAAGAGCAUCUUUGAGCUUCUUUCCCUGCCUGUCUGCUGCUUUGUCUGACUAUUAGUCCUAGUCCUACUCUCUUUCCAACCGUACCUUCCUUAUUUCUUUCCCGAAAGCCGUUAAGCAAUAAAGAUUCUUUCUAAGUGAAGGAAAAGUAGUUCCGGUGAACAAUUCAGUAAGGAAAGUACUCGAUGAGGGAACAUAAAUUCAUCCCUUCAAACAGACUUUAAAGAAAGGCCUUUUAGGGGAGUUCGCUCUUCGUGUGUGCGAAAGUUAAUUCCUCUGUCCUGUGCGCGGAAGGCAUAGGCUAAGGUUGAAGUACAGUAGUAAAGGUAAAGUAGUAAAGUAAGGAUAAAAGUAAGGUUUAUAAAGAACCUUCUCCUCGCUACUCUCUCUGGACUAAGGAGGGAUCUUACAACUCGGAAAUUACCAGAGAUUUAUUGAUGAAGUACUGCCUUACCCUACCCCCUAUCAACAGUAGACCGUCUUAAAGAUAUGCAAAAGAGUCAUAUUCUAUAACCAACCCCGAAAUCCCCGAUCUACGAGUGGAUAUUGCCUUUUCAUCGGUGGUAAUUCUUCUUUCAGACUGGCCUAAGAGUUCGGUCCCUGGUACUGUGCCUAUUCACUCUUCCUAAGGCUAUCCAGAAGGGGUAGUAGCAUUCUCUUUCUAGUCUUUCUUUCUUAGCUCUUAGGGAUAGAUCUUCCUCCCCCUUCUAUGACCUUAGGCACAAUAAGGCUCACUAAGAAGCCCAACCCUGCGUAUAAUGCUUUUCCAGCAAAGGAAAGGAUUAGUCCCUUGAAUCCGAGGAGUCUUUUUUACUUAACUAACGGGCUUGCUCUUUAAAAAAGUUUAUUAACCUCUGCUUCCCCAGGGGUAUGAUUCCCUUGUUCAGAAGUGGUGACGAUUCUCGGUGAACUGAAUCAGGUGGUUUUCUCUUCCCGAGCGAAGGGCUUACUAGGAAGCCUUUCGCUCGUCCCUUCGCACGUGAAUCUUGAUAUCCCCUUUGCCGGGCGUUAGAGCAUUGAUUUCUUCUUUCCCCGACCCUCACUUAAUCCUACAGGGGACGUACCAUAGCACCCCAGUACCCUUCAUGCGGACGUCACUUUGGAUUCAAUCAAGCCUCGCAUGCCCAGAAGCUCAUAGCCAGAUCGUCUAUCAUACUAAGGGUCGAGACUGAAAAACAAUCCCCGUAGGAUAGGCAAUCGCUUAUUAAAGGGAACGGUUGGCGAGGCCCUUUGGAUAGGUUCGGCUAUCCCCUCCUCUUGGCCCGAUUACGGAAUUCGACGCUCUCGAUACCCUGAAAAAGUUCUCAAUCUCGACUAGAAUCGUAGUUUUCAGUCUCUAUAUUUUAGGUAGUAAGCAAGGCUAUGCUAUGAAGAUGCCAUGAUCUAAACGCGUUUGUGGCCUAGUCGUGACGGAAGACUUUUUUCUCUUUCUCUACGUUAGGAAUCCCGGUUUAAUUGAAUAAGAAUUUGCCGAAUAAGGUAAGGUAAGGUAAGGUAAGGUAAGGUAAGGUAAGGUAAAGGAAGGUAAGGUAAGGUAGUAAGGUAAGGUAAGGUAAGGUAAGGUAAGGUCAGGGCGCAGCUUUUAAGUCUGAAAGCCCAUUUUCCUAUAGAAAGGUAGCCCACUACAGCUAGAGCUUGAAGUGCACACUCAAAUGGACCAUCACCAAAGAAGCAACAAGACCUCUUUAUUCCGAAUCAGAUAUGAGCCAAGGAUAUUGUAAGGGGUUGGCUUGGAAGGUAGAAGUAGUUGAGAGGGAGAGCGCUUUACUCUUACCUUUUCUUGCUCUACCCACAGCCCGGCAUCAGGAAGUAGCCGGCUGAGGUUUUCAUCUUACUCUCAACUCAUACUAAAUAGGAUGGUAUUCUCAGUCGGCGAAGCCUAGCCUCACUCAAUUGAAAUAACACAGGAAUAAAACCAAAGGGAGGGCUGUGAGUGGGGAAGGUUUAAGCAACCACCCGGUUUGUACAUCUACAAUAUCCUAAUCACGUAUGCUAAGUCAGUUUUGUACGGAUUAAAGCUCUCAGAGCCCAGUUUAAGAAAUUCCAUAAAACUCUUAUAGAGUUAGAGUUUGGCCUAAGAUUACAUAAGUCCGACUCAUCACUUACUACUCGUCA
rnacentral:lncRNA from 1 species